rnacentral:rRNA from 1 species
GACGAACGCUGGCGGCGUGCUUAACACAUGCAAGUCGAACGGAAAGGCCCUGCUUUUGUGGGGUGCUCGAGUGGCGAACGGGUGAGUAACACGUGAGUAACCUGCCCUUGACUUUGGGAUAACUUCAGGAAACUGGGGCUAAUACCGGAUAGGAGCUCCUGCUGCAUGGUGGGGGUUGGAAAGUUUCGGCGGUUGGGGAUGGACUCGCGGCUUAUCAGCUUGUUGGUGGGGUAGUGGCUUACCAAGGCUUUGACGGGUAGCCGGCCUGAGAGGGUAACCGGCCACAUUGGGACUGAGAUACGGCCCAGACUCCUACGGGAGGCAGCAGUGGGGAAUAUUGCACAAUGGGCGGAAGCCUGAGGCAGCAACGCCGCGUGCGGGAUGACGGCCUUCGGGUUGUAAACCGCUUUCGCCUGUGACGAAGCGUGAGUGACGGUAAUGGGUAAAGAAGCACCGGCUAACUACGUG